GUAAAGAGAAAGUCUUGUAGGGAGAGAGAAAAGGAAAAACAAACGGGAUUCUUCUCUCCUUUUCCCUUGUGCAGUUCUGGACAGGGUGAUGUUCAAAAUACUAUCUUUCCAGCAAAACCCAGUUGCUCCAUCCUACGUUCUUGCCUUAUUAUUCCUUUAAUUAAGCUGUCCCCAUCUUGAGGUACGUCUCUCUCUGUGUGUUUCCUGAAAAUUAAGGGGUUUAUUUGUAUUAUAUGUAUAUGUAUGUAUUUUGGCUGAGGUAUUGACAGUAAAGCAGUCUGAAUAGUCUAAUUUAUGUCUCCUCUUUCUUAAAAUUAUUCUUUACUGCCUGCCUACAUUCCCCAUUUUGUCUCUAAUUAAAAGGGGAACCCUUGCCCAUUCACUAAACUCAUAUUUAUUGGGUUGUGCAGAAAUAUUGCAUAAGAAAAAUUCCAUACCCAGAUCAAAUCGAGCUUUGACAAGCAUAUUUAAAGCCAGUUGUG
rnacentral:lncRNA from 1 species